AUCUCACCUCAUUUGCUCACAUCGUAUAUAGAGUUGUUUAUACUGUAUUAUUGACUGUAUGUUUGUUUUACUCCAUGUGUAAGUCUGUGUCGUAGUAUGUGUCGAACUGCUUUGCUUUAUCUUGGCCAGGUCGCAAUUGUAAAUGAGAAGUUGUUCUCAACUUGCCUACCUGGUUAAUUAAAUAAAGGUGAGAAGAUUAAAAAAAGGGAAAAAAAUGUGGCUAUUUGAUUAGGACUUUUCUUCUAUGUGUCGCAACUCCAUUUCCACUUUAUGUCCCCGUUAGGGAGGUGUAAUUUAUGCUGCAGGCUAAUUACAAAAUUGUGGUCCAAGUUCAACUCCUAGCCUAUAGGGUGUGGUAACAGGCCCUCUGUUAUUUGUUGUUGUACUCUGCAUGUGAAGUACUCUGCAUGUGAAGUAUCUGCACUGUAGCCUAUAGAAGAAGUAAGCCCUUGUUAAUAGGGGAACGCAAGCAGUUGAAGGGAACAAGUGACAGAGUCUAACCUGCUGUUGAACACAAACUCCCAGUCCUAUGAUGUUGCUCUGUGAAGAAGCUGCAUCCCAGCAAGUUGAAGGCCGGCAGCCACUAAGUAGAGGAAUGUUUUACAGCGUUUCAGCUUGCAGAGGUAUCACCACCCUUCCCAUGGCCACCUGGAUCCUGUCUAGGGAAGAAAACGAAGAAUGAUGUUAUUACAUGGCCUUCAAGAGCUACAUGACUGCUGAGGUGACAUAUCGGACCCCUUAGGAUUUGUG